rnacentral:rRNA from 1 species
GUCGAGAAUAUUCGACAAUGGGCGAAAGCCUGAUCGAGCGACGCCGCGUGCAGGAAGAAGGCCUGCGGGUUGUAAACUGCGGUAAACUGGGAAUAAGUCGCAAGACUGAAGGUACCAGUUGGAAAGAGGUGGGUAACUACGUGCCAGCACCAGCGGUAAAACGUAGACCUCAAGCGUUAUCCGGAUUUAUUGGGCGUAAAGAGCGUGUAGGCGGUCCGACGCGUCUUUGGUUAAAGCCCACUGCCCAACAGUGGAAUCGCCAAGGAUACGGUCGGGCUGGAGGAGGUUAGAGGUGCAUGGAACGCACGGUGUAGGGGUGAAAUCCGUUGAUAUCGUGCGGAACACCAAAGGCGAAGGCAGUGCACUGGGACCUUCCUGACGCUGAGACGCGAAAGCGUGGGGAGCAAAAAGGAUUAGAAACCCGAGUAGUCC